GGUUAAGCGACUAAGCGUACACGGUGGAUGCCCUGGCAGUCAGAGGCGAUGAAGGGCGUGCUAAUCUGCGAUAAGCGCCGGUAAGGUGAUAUGAACCGUUAUAACCGGCGAUACCCGAAUGGGGAAACCCAGUGUGACUCGUCACACUAUCAUUAACUGAAUCCAUAGGUUAAUGAGGCGAACCGGGGGAACUGAAACAUCUAAGUACCCCGAGGAAAAGAAAUCAACCGAGAUUCCCCCAGUAGCGGCGAGCGAACGGGGAGGAGCCCAGAGCCUGAAUCAGCAUGUGUGUUAGUGGAAGCGUCUGGAAAGGCGCGCGAUACAGGGUGACAGCCCCGUACACAAAAGCGCAUGUGCUGUGAGCUCGAUGAGUAGGGCGGGACACGUGGUAUCCUGUCUGAAUAUGGGGGGACCAUCCUCCAAGGCUAAAUACUCCUGACUGACCGAUAGUGAACCAGUACCGUGAGGGAAAGGCGAAAAGAACCCCGGCGAGGGGAGUGAAAAAGAACCUGAAACCGUGUACGUACAAGCAGUGGGAGCACCCUUUGGGGUGUGACUGCGUACCUUUUGUAUAAUGGGUCAGCGACUUAUAUUCUGUAGCAAGGUUAACCGAAUAGGGGAGCCGGAGGGAAACCGAGUCUUAACCGGGCGUUAAGUUGCAGGGUAUAGACCCGAAACCCGGUGAUCUAGCCAUGGGCAGGUUGAAGGUUGGGUAACACUAACUGGAGGACCGAACCGACUAAUGUUGAAAAAUUAGCGGAUGACCUGUGGCUGGGGGUGAAAGGCCAAUCAAACCGGGAGAUAGCUGGUUCUCCCCGAAAGCUAUUUAGGUAGCGCCUCGUGAAUUCAUCUCCGGGGGUAGAGCACUGUUUCGGCUAGGGGGCCAUCCCGGCUUACCAACCCGAUGCAAACUGCGAAUACCGGAGAAUGUUAUCACGGGAGACACACGGCGGGUGCUAACGUCCGUCGUGAAGAGGGAAACAACCCAGACCGCCAGCUAAGGUCCCAAAGUCAUGGUUAAGUGGGAAACGAUGUGGGAAGGCCCAGACAGCCAGGAUGUUGGCUUAGAAGCAGCCAUCAUUUAAAGAAAGCGUAAUAGCUCACUGGUCGAGUCGGCCUGCGCGGAAGAUGUAACGGGGCUAAACCAUGCACCGAAGCUGCGGCAGCGACGCUGAUGCGUUGUUGGGUAGGGGAGCGUUCUGUAAGCCUGCGAAGGUGGCCUGUGAGGGUUGCUGGAGGUAUCAGAAGUGCGAAUGCUGACAUAAGUAACGAUAAAGCGGGUGAAAAGCCCGCUCGCCGGAAGACCAAGGGUUCCUGUCCAACGUUAAUCGGGGCAGGGUGAGUCGACCCCUAAGGCGAGGCCGAAAGGCGUAGUCGAUGGGAAACGGGUUAAUAUUCCCGUACUUGGUGUUACUGCGAAGGGGGGACGGAGAAGGCUAUGUUGGCCGGGCGACGGUUGUCCCGGUUUAAGCGUGUAGGUGUGUGUUCCAGGUAAAUCCGGUUCACUUUAACACUGAGGCGUGAUGACGAGGCACUACGGUGCUGAAGCAACAAAUGCCCUGCUUCCAGGAAAAGCCUCUAAGCAUCAGGUAACAUCAAAUCGUACCCCAAACCGACACAGGUGGUCAGGUAGAGAAUACCAAGGCGCUUGAGAGAACUCGGGUGAAGGAACUAGGCAAAAUGGUGCCGUAACUUCGGGAGAAGGCACGCUGACACGUAGGUGAAGUGAUUUACUCAUGGAGCUGAAGUCAGUCGAAGAUACCAGCUGGCUGCAACUGUUUAUUAAAAACACAGCACUGUGCAAACACGAAAGUGGACGUAUACGGUGUGACGCCUGCCCGGUGCCGGAAGGUUAAUUGAUGGGGUCAGCGCAAGCGAAGCUCCUGAUCGAAGCCCCGGUAAACGGCGGCCGUAACUAUAACGGUCCUAAGGUAGCGAAAUUCCUUGUCGGGUAAGUUCCGACCUGCACGAAUGGCGUAAUGAUGGCCAGGCUGUCUCCACCCGAGACUCAGUGAAAUUGAACUCGCUGUGAAGAUGCAGUGUACCCGCGGCAAGACGGAAAGACCCCGUGAACCUUUACUAUAGCUUGACACUGAACAUUGAGCCUUGAUGUGUAGGAUAGGUGGGAGGCUUUGAAGUGUGGACGCCAGUCUGCAUGGAGCCGGCCUUGAAAUACCACCCUUUAAUGUUUGAUGUUCUAACGUGGACCCGUGAUCCGGGUUGCGGACAGUGUCUGGUGGGUAGUUUGACUGGGGCGGUCUCCUCCUAAAGAGUAACGGAGGAGCACGAAGGUUGGCUAAUCCUGGUCGGACAUCAGGAGGUUAGUGCAAUGGCAUAAGCCAGCUUGACUGCGAGCGUGACGGCGCGAGCAGGUGCGAAAGCAGGUCAUAGUGAUCCGGUGGUUCUGAAUGGAAGGGCCAUCGCUCAACGGAUAAAAGGUACUCCGGGGAUAACAGGCUGAUACCGCCCAAGAGUUCAUAUCGACGGCGGUGUUUGGCACCUCGAUGUCGGCUCAUCACAUCCUGGGGCUGAAGUAGGUCCCAAGGGUAUGGCUGUUCGCCAUUUAAAGUGGUACGCGAGCUGGGUUUAGAACGUCGUGAGACAGUUCGGUCCCUAUCUGCCGUGGGCGCUGGAGAACUGAGGGGGGCUGCUCCUAGUACGAGAGGACCGGAGUGGACGCAUCACUGGUGUUCGGGUUGUCAUGCCAAUGGCACUGCCCGGUAGCUAAAUGCGGAAGAGAUAAGUGCUGAAAGCAUCUAAGCACGAAACUUGCCCCGAGAUGAGUUCUCCCUGAGACUUAGAGUCUCCUGAAGGAACGUUGAAGACGACGACGUUGAUAGGCCGGGUGUGUAAGCGCAGCGAUGCGUUGAGCUAACCGGUACUAAUGAACCGUGAGGCUUAACCUU
rnacentral:rRNA from 1 species